GUGCAAUAGGGGUUAUUCUUGUUCCCUAUAUCCAUAUCCAUCUUUAACUUUGUCAACUGUGAUUCCUUACUCGCAGUUGAUUUUCUCCGCUGGUACAUCU